CCCCGGGCGCCCUCGAGCGGCAGGGGCUUAGACGCGGCCCGCAUCCAUCCAGGAGGCUCCAGGCCAACGCUCGAUAGCGUUCUACCGGAGGGUCCUCCUCUCCUCCCAGAACCCCUGCCGAGGACGUGGCUCCAAGGCGUUACAGAGCUUUGGGCGGGCACUGGCCGCCGCUGACCCCAGAGCUAGGGGUGCCUUCCUGCUCCGCACGUCCCUCUCCGCUCAUUCUUUCCACGCAUCCAGGUCAAACGUCCAAAGUAAGAUGUCUGCCAGGGCCUGUGCUCUCCCCUUUCCUCCUUUGCCCUCCUUUCCCUCUGUCCUCUUCUCCAGGAGCCCGGAGCAGUUGGCUUCAGCAGGGAGCUGGCCUCACCACCUGGUCCAGGCUGUGCUCCGGAAUUCGCCAGGACAUCCGUGCUCACUGGACCCUUUGGUGAGGCCCAGCCUGAGGCCCUUGCACCAGAGGUUCACGUUCUCUGAGAACCCAUGGGGUGUGGCAGCGAGGCAUGGUUGUGAGAGGUAACUGCAGAGCAAGGUGGGCUGUAUGGAGGAGGUGGCUGGCUCAGAACAAGACCUUAAACUUUAAGGCUUCAAGAUUGGUUAAGUUCUGAAGGCAGAGUGUCAUAGGAUGGAGACACAGGGCGCUUUGGCACACGGGCAGAAGGCAGUGUGACACUGAGGCAAGAGGCCAGGCUGCUGGCUUUGAGGAUAGAGGAAGGGGCCACGAGGCAAGGAGCGCAAGGAGCACAGCCCUAGAAGCUGGAGAUGCAGCUGGAGAAGGAAGACAUUCUCCCCUGGGGCCUCCGGAGGGAGAGCGGCCGAGCCAUCGCCUGGACCUCAGCCCAGUGAAGCUGACUUUGGACUUCUGCCGUCCACGGCUGUAAGAGGAGCCCUGAGAGGAGGGAGCCGUGUGCCUGCCUGUAUGAAUUCUUGAAAGCAAGUUCUGUACAACUCAACGGUCUCCCUUUCGAUGUUGUUUGAGACAGAAGAGCACACUCUCCUAAGCCAUACUGUCUGGGAUCAAAUCCUGGCUCCACCAUCCAAUAGCUGGGUGACCUUGGACAAAUUACUUAACCUCUCUGUGCCUCCAGUUCCUCUUCUGCAGAAUGGCAUGGUAACGGCACUUCAGUGUUGAGGGUUGAGAGGAGUAAAGCCGCAAUGCAUGUGCCUGGCACAUUCUAGGCAUGUUAUUAUCAUUGCUCACGUUCUGUGGAUGAUCCCUCACUAUAAACCUGUGUUUUCUGGGGUCACCAAGAAUGUCCAUAUUUUUAAACCCACUUCAGUUCUGAUUCCACCUCACCUCUCCCUAGCACUUAGCACUGCUGGCCAUGAAUUUUUCCUCAAAAUGGUCUUUUCCUUUUGUCAAAGGAACGAAGGUAGCUCUGGGGCCCGGGGAACGUGGGGCUUGGGGUGGUGCUGUGACUGUCUGGUGCGUUCUGCCACAGCCAGCCUUGGGAGGGGUCCUGGGGCCUGUCAUGUGGGUUGCCAAGGUCAUCCCUAUCUCCUGAGAUGGACCCUCCUUGAGUGGACUGUGUGUCCCCAUGAACUCUCAGCACCUGCUGAGAACAGCCCUGGAGGAGGCUUUGAUAUCAGGAGCCAAGGUUUCCAGGAAUCUUUGCCGCAACGUGAGAUGCGGAGGCAGGGGCAUGAAGAGAUGGGCCAGCGUGCACACGGCGUCAGUCAUUCUGGAUUUGUCACCCGCAAGGCUUAGCUGUUCAGCAGGGCCACUUCAAAAGAGAAAGAAGCAUCGAAGGCUCCACACCUGCUUUUCUGGAGGAGAGGAUACGGGGAGGACAAAGAUGGACCUGCAGCUGACCAACUCCCCUAUAUGCCCACAAAUUAGAUAGCUUAGAUGAAGUGGACAAAUUCCUAGGAAGACAGAAACUACUGAAACUGACUCAAAAGAAAUGUUAAAAUCUGAAUAGAUCUAUACAGUAAAGAGUUUGAAUUAAUAAUCAAAAACUUUUCACAAAGAAAAGCCCAGGCCCAGAUGGCAUCACUGGUGAUUCUACCAAACAUUUAAAGAAGAAUUACUAUCAAUCCUUCAGGAACUCUUGCAAAAAAUAUAAACAGAGGGAAUACUUCUCAAUUCAUUCUAUGAGACCAUAUGAUCCUGAUACCCAAAACAGGCAAACAUAACACAAGAAAACUAAAAAGCAACAUCCCUGAUAAAUAUAGACACAAAAAAUCCUCAGCAAACUACUAGCAAACAGAAUUUGUUAACAUAUAAGAAUUAUAAUAACUUCCCUGGUGGUACAGUGGAUAAGAGUCGGUACUCCCAAUGCAGGGGGCCUGGGUUCGAUCCCUGGUCUGGGAACUAGAUCCCACAUUCAGGCUUCAACUAAGAGUUCGUAUGCCACAACUAAGGAGCCCACCUGCCGCAACUAAGACCUGGUGCAGCCAAAUAAAUAAAUAAAAUUUAAGAAGUAAUGAUAAUAAAACAAAACACUAGACCAUAAGGUAGAAUUCCAAAUGGUAUUAAUUAGGGAGACCACUAACAUUUAAAAAAAAAAAAAAAGAAGAAUUAUAAACCAUGACUAAAUGGGACUUAACCCAGUAGCUUGACAUCCAGAAAUCAAUUAGUGUAACAUGUUCUCAUUCCCCUUUUUCUUUUUUUAAAAAAAUUAAUUAAUUAUUUAUUUAUUUUUGGCUGUGUUGGGUCUUCGUUUCUGUGCCAGGGCUUUCUCUAGUUGCGGCGAGCGGGGAUCACUCUUCAUUGCGGUGUGUGGGCCUCUCACUGUCAUGGCCCCUCUUGUUGUGGAGCACAGGCUCCAGAGGCGCAGGCUCAGUAGUUGUGGCUCACGGGCCCAGUUGCUCCGUGGCAUGUGGGAUCUUCCCAGACCAGGGCUCAAACCUGUGUCCCCUGCAUUGGCAGGCAGAUUCUCAACCACUGCGCCACCAGGGAAGCCCCUCCCCUUUUUCUUAAUGAGAUGUUUUAUUGCAGUAAUUCCAUUCCUUUUAUAUUCUUGUCCACUGGGAGUUUUGGAGGCAGAUGUCUUAUUUCUUAGCCUUCAGAAGUUCUGGUGGCUACAAGUUUGAGACGAAGAUGUCAGCAGAGCUGGUUUCUUCUAAGGCCUUUCUCUCUGACAUGUAGAUCAUUGUCUUCUUCCAGGGACUUCACAUGGCCUUCCCUCUUGGCAUCCAAUAUGGAUUUUAACAGAGCCCAACCUACCUGGGGGGAAGGAAAAUAUUCAGCUCCAGCUCUCUUUAGCUUUCCUUUCUCACUCAAAGAGAAAUCUGGAAAGAAGCCAGAGAGAAAAAUACCCCCACCUCACCAACAGCAACAAGGAUAAGGAUUACAUGAGACCAUGUUUUCUCUUCAGAAACCAUGCAAGCAAAAGCAUGGAAUGAAAAAUUUAAACUGAUGAAAGAAAAAAAUCCACCAAUUUAGAAUUCUUUAUCCAGUGAGAUUAUACUAGAAAUGUGAGGAGAAAUAAAGACGUUCUCAUACAAACAAAAAUUGAAGGAAUUUCUCACCAGUAGAUCAGUCCUGCAAGAAGUGUUAAGAGAAGUUCUUCAAAGAGAAGGAAAAUGAUACAGGUCAAAAUUCAGAUCUACAUAAAGAAAUAAGGAACAUUAGUGAAGAAAUAAAUGAAGGUAAAAUAAAAUCUUUUAUUUUUCUUAUACUUAGCUGAUCUAUCAGUUUGCUUGAAAUAAUGAUAGCAAUACAUUAGAUGGUUGUAGCUUGUGGAAAAGGGAAACAUAUGGUGGCAAUGUUACAAGGGAUGGGAAGGAAGAACUGGGGGUACUCUGUUACAAGGUACUUGAACUACCUGCGAAGGGAUAUACUAUCAUUUGAAAAUGGAUUUAGAUUAAUUGUAAAGGUAGAGUGCAAACUCUAGGGAAACCACUAAAGAAAUCACUAAACCAUUUAAAGAAGUAUAAUUGAUUUGUUAAGAGAGGAGAGAAACCAGAAUCAUAAAAUACUCAAACCCAGAGAAGGUAGAAAAAGAGUGGAAGACAAAGAGGAAACAAAGACAAAAGCAUCAAAUAGAAAACAGUUAUAAAUAUGGUAAAUAUUAAUCCAACUAUAUCAAUAAUCAGUUUAAAUGAUCUAAAUACACCAGUGAAAGAAAGAGACUAUCAGAGUGGAUAAAAAAAUGACCCAACUAUAUGUUGUCCACAAGGAACCCACGUUAAAUAUAAAGACACAGGUGUGUUAAAAGUAAAGGAAUUAAGAAAGAUAUACCAUGUUAACACAAAUCAAAGAAAACUGGAUGAAGAUGAACAGAAGACAUAAACUUCCAGUUAUAAGGUAAAUGAGUAUUAGGGAUGCAAUGUACCGCAGGAUGACUCUGGCUAACAGUGCCGUACGGCAUACGUGAAAUGAUAGAUGGCCAACUCUGCCAUGUGGCAUACGUGAAAUGAUACGUGGCCAACACUGCUGUGCAGCAUACAUGAAAUAUACGUGGCCAGCACUGCUGUAUGUUGUAUAUGAAAGUUGUUAAAAGAGUAAAUCCUAAGAGUUCUCAUCACGGGAGAAAAAAAAGUAAUUUUUCUUUUUUCUUUCUUUUCUUUUUUUGGGUUUUUAUAUGAGAUGAUGUAUGUCAGCUAAACUUACUGUGGUAAUCAUUUUGCAAUAUAUGUAAAUCAAAUUAUUAUGCUGUGCACCUUAAACUUAUACAGAGUUGUAUGUAAAUUAUAUCUCAGUUAAACUGGAAAAACACUGGAGUAGGAUUAGUAAUUUCAUACAUAAUUAUGAAAGAAUUAAUUCUCCAAGAAGAUGUAACCAUCCUUAAUGUGUAUGUGCCUAACAGUAGAGAGUCAAAUGCAUGAGGAAGAAACUGAUAGAAUUGCUAGGAGAAAUAGAUGAAUCCACCAUUAUAUUUGGAAACUUCAACAGCCUUCUACCAGUAAUUGACAGAUCUAGCAGGCAGUAAAUAGGUAAGGACAUAGUUGAACUCGAUAACACCAUCAAUCAACUGGAUAUAAUUAUAUCUAUUGACUACUUCAUCCAACAACAGCAGAAUACACAGAAUUCCUCUCAGGCUCAUAUGGAACAUUCACCAAGAAAGACCACAUUCUGGGCCUUAAAACACAUCUUAACAAAUUUAAAAGAGCAGAAAUCGUACAAUGUCUGUUCUCAAGCCACAGUGGAAUUAAACCAGAAAUCAAUAACAGAAAGAAAGAUAGCUA